rnacentral:snoRNA from 1 species
GCUUUUCCCGUACAUAGCAGAUUCUUCUUUGUGGACCUCUCAUAGUGUAUCCAUGCCAGUAAACUACAGCCUCAAACCAUUGCCCAGCUUUCUUACCUGUGGGCUGUGAGCACUGAAAAAGAUGGCAUAGUU